UAAUGGUGACAGUUGUUAAAGCGGGGGAUCGUAAGACCUCGCGUCUGAAGAGGAGCCUGCGGCAGAUUAGCUAGUUGGUAAGGUAACGGCUUACCAAGGCGAUGAUCUGUAGCCGGCCUGAGAGGGCGGUCGGCCACACUGACACUGACAUACGGGUCAGACUCCUACGGGAGGCAGCAGUCGGGAAUUUUGGGCAAUGGGCGAAAGCCUGACCCAGCAACGCCGCGUGAAGGAUGAAAUCCCUCGGGAUGUAAACUUCGCAAGAACGGGAAGAAUAAGUAAGGGUUAAUAUCUCUUACGAUGACGGUACUGUUUGUAAGCUC
rnacentral:rRNA from 1 species